ensembl:lncRNA
GGGCCAUAGGAAACUGUAAUGGUGGUUCAGCACAUGUAGCUCUGUUGACUUGUUUGUUGUUUUGAAGAUGCCUACAGGUCUUUACCACUUUACUCUUUACAACUCACCACCAUAGUUUGAUUCAUUCAACAAUUUGAAGCUUUGUUACAUGGAAAAUCUAUAGCUUACACAGGUUUGAACUUGAAUAACUUGAAUAACUUUGAACAUUUUGAGACUUAAAAACUCCUGCUAAUGGCCUAGCUAUCUCCUGCUCCCUGCUGUCGGCUGAAGCUUCUACCGGCCCGCUUGAUUACCACUUACAUCACCUGGAUCAUUAAGCACCUCUGGGUCUUACCAGUGCCACGGACAGAGAACCUCCCUACACCCAAAGAGACAGGUCGGCUCUCCUCUUCACACAGUGCCACGGACAGAGAACCUCCCUACACCCAAAGAGACAGCGCUGUUGAGUGAGACAAUCCAUAGACCCCGAGAGAUAAGUC